UACGGAGGGGGCUAGCGUUGUUCGGAAUUACUGGGCGUAAAGCGCGCGUAGGCGGACCUGCAAGUCGGGGGUGAAAGCCCGAGGCUCAACCUCGGAACUGCCUUCGAUACUGCGGGUCUCGAGUCCGGGAGAGGUGAGUGGAAUUCCUAGUGUAGAGGUGAAAAUUCGUAGAUAUUAGGAAGAACACCAGUGGCGGAAAGGCGGCUCACUGGCCCGGUACUGACGCUGAGGCGCGAAAGGCGUGGGGAGCAAACAGG
rnacentral:rRNA from 1 species